AGAGCGAACGCUGGCGGCAGGCCUAACACAUGCAAGUCGAGCGCCCGUAGCAAUACGGGAGCGGCAGACGGGAUAGUAACACGUGGGAACGCGCCCUUCGGUUCGGAAUAACUCAGGGAAACUUGAGCUAAUACCGGAUACGCCCUUACGGGGAAAGAUUUAUUGCCGAAGGAACGGCCCGCGUCCGAUUAGCUAGUUGGUGAGGUAAUGGCUCACCAAGGCGACGAUCGGUAGCUGGUCUGAGAGGAUGACCAGCAUCACUGGGACUGAGACACGGCCCAGACUCCUACGGGAGGCAGCAGUGGGGAAUAUGGACAAUGGGCGCAAGCCUGAUCCAGCCAUGCCGCGUGGAUGAUGAAGGCCUUAGGGUUGUAAAGUCCUUUUAACGGGGAAGAUAAUGACGGUACCCGUAGAAUAAGCCCGGCUAACUUCGUGCCAGCAGCCGC
rnacentral:rRNA from 1 species